rnacentral:rRNA from 1 species
UACGAAGGGGGCUAGCGUUGUUCGGAAUUACUGGGCGUAAAGCGCGCGCAGGCGGCUAUCCAAGUCAGUGGUGAAAGCCCGGAGCUCAACUCCGGAACUGCCAUUGAAACUGUUUAGUUUGAGGAUGAGAGAGGUGAGUGGAAUUCCCAGUGUAGAGGUGAAAUUCGUAGAUAUUGGGAAGAACACCGGUGGCGAAGGCGGCAUCCUGGACCGGCAUUGACGCUGAGG